AACAAGAACUAAAUUAUUAUCAAAUCUUGGCAUUUUUUGUGGCAAAAUGGAAGAGUACUGACAUUUUUUUACCUGUGUUCAGGCAAGGAGCAGCUAGGAGGAGUCUAAAAAUAAGCUCAGAACUUUGCACCAAAUCCUCCCCCUUGCACUGGCAGAUGAAGCUGAACCAUGAACCUUCCCAGCCCGGACCCAGAGUGAAGAUUAAUUUAAGGGGCAUUCAUCCAUUUAGUGGAAAUGAGUCAUUCUCAUCAGCAGUAAUGGGAAUUACAGAAGGGCUCUGGUUUCACAAAGAACCUGCUUAAACCUAAGAAAGCUGCAGAUGGGCGUUGAUGAUCUGUAUGGGGUUUAACUUUCCCUCUGGACCCUCCUGGUGUUCAGGACUAGGACAAGUCAGACUUCGCCCUCUUCCAGAGCAUUGCUUUUGGCAAGAGACUUUGUCAACAAGA
rnacentral:lncRNA from 1 species